rnacentral:rRNA from 1 species
GCCUGCAGCCAUAUCACUCUGCAACUCACAACUGGCAACCCACUGAAGCUAAGCGGGUAUGAGCCUGGUCAGUACCUGGAUGGGAGACCUGGGAAAAACUAAGGUUGCUGCUGGAA